UGACAGCACCCUUCUCGCCGGCCAGGCAUAACCAGAGGAGACCAGACUGCCAUCGCAAUGCACCCGGAUGGUUCUGCACAUGGCCCUGGUGGGGGGCAUGGGGGUCGGGCUGAGGAGGAGGCGAGACUCACGGGACAGGCCUGCGUCUGGUCCAGGAUGUCCAGGGUGCCGACACUUUCACUAUCACAGGUAAGGCCCUGGCAGCCUCCCUGCCCUCCACCUGCGUUGCUUCCUCACAGUAAAUGCCCUGGACUUGCUUUUGGCAUUGUACAGCCUCUUGCUUUUCCCCAUAUCACUUCCUACAAGGCCUGCUGUGGCUGCUGCGGGCCACCCUGAGGGGUGCCUGCUUCUUCCCCACCCUGACUUUCCAAAGGCGCAGUGGAAGGUGAUGGCCCUGUGAGUAAGGCCCUGAAGUCUGCAGUAAGCCACUUUCCCUCAACGCUGUCUCCCUUCCCGAAGGGAAAGCCACAGCCCUGGCUAAUGUUGGAGGAAGGGGAGGCCUGGACAGCUGCCUGAACCCAAGCUGGGCUCUGUGGGGCUGUGGGGCCAGCAGACGUGGGAUGUGAGCCACACUGGUAAUUUCAAUCUUCUAGUACAUGUUAGGAGGUGAUAUGGUUUGGAUGUGUGUCCCCACCCAAAUCUCAUGUGGAAUUGUAAUUCCCAGUGUUGGAGGUGGGGCCAGGUGGGAGGUGUUUGGAUCAUGGGAGCAGAUCCCUCAUGAGUGGCUUGGGCCAUCCCCGUGGUGAUAAGUGAGCUUUUGCUCUGAGUUCACACGAGGUCUGGUCAUUUAAAAGUGUGUGGCACCACCCUCCACUCCCUCUCUCUUGCUCCUGCUUUCGCCAUGUGAAGUGCCUGCUCCCCGUUCGCCUUCCAACAUGACUGGAGGCUCCUUGAGGCCUCCCUGGAAGCCGAGCAGAUGCCAGCACCACACUUCUUGUAAAGCCUCCAGAACCGUGAGCCAACUAAAUCUCUUUUCUUUGUAAAUUACCCAGCUUCAGGUAUUUCUUUAUAGCAACACAAGAAUGGCCUAAUACAGAGGGGAAAAUGAAACAGGUGAAAUUAGCAUUAAUAACACAUUUUAUUGAACUCAAUAUAUCUAAAUUACUAUUUGUCAACAUGCAAUCAAUGUAAAAGUUAUAAUGAGGCCCUGUACACACCUAUUUCGUAUAAAGUGCCUGCCAUCUGGAGCCUCUUUUCUAUUGCCCAUGCCUCCCAGCCAUGGUCAUGUGUAGCUUGGGGAUCCCCUAUUGGACAGGCUCAAAAAGAAGCACCCCAUCACUGUCCCCCAGGGCACCCCAUCAGAUCUCUGAACAAGUGCUCAGAACCCCUCCACCUAAAGGCUGCCCAGGAUGAGGGGGAUGGCAAAUGUGAAGACUCCCCCGCCCAACCUGCACACCAAGGCUUACUUCUGAAUGGACUUGCUGUCACUGAUGGGCACGUGAGAACUCGGCAGACAGUCUUCCUUCAUCUUCUCUUCCUCUUGUCUGCAGACCUAGAAGUUACUUGCUGGGAAGACAAGGAAGGGUGGACAGACAGGGACAGCCUGACUACUGGCUUCUGCCUCGGUUGCUCCUGCAAUCCUCCAGAGCUACCCUGGGCCUCUCUCCUGCCUUCCCGCUCAGCCAGGCAGUGGCCCAUCACUGGCUGUCCUGGCAGUGGGUUAGUCGGCACUGUGUUCCCUAUGUGCUGUAAAUGGUUGGCAUCUUCUCUGAGUUAUCUCCUCCAGUCCCUACAACGAUAUUGUGAGGUGAGUAUCACCAUAUUCCCAUUUUACAGAUGAGAAGACAGGGACAAGAGCUUAAGCACUUUGCCCAAGAUUACCAGCAAGUAAGCAGAAAAGCCACUGUUCCAGCACAAGCAUUUGGACCCCUGAUUCUGGUCUCUUAGUACCUUCUCUAUAUUGAUCACGGGCAGUGACUUAAACUCCCAAACCUUCCUUUCCUCGUCUGUGCAACAAGGUAAUCUCAAGCCCACAGGAUCAUUAGUGGAUCCACACACACGCGGUUCACACACACUGUUCCACACACAUACUAUUCCCUCUUUCCACACACAGCCUUGAUUGGUUUGAGGAGCCGCUCCUGCCCUCCCCAGGUUUCUUUCACGGACAGUAAAUCCACCAGAGCUUUCUCGAACCUGUUGGCAUCUGCACAGCUUCCUGUUCCUCUCUCUCCCCCAUGUCAAUGUGGCCAAGGACUCUUAUCAAGGCCUCCUACAUGCUAGGCAGGGAGGUAAAGCUUCACACACACAUACAUACACACACACACACACACA
rnacentral:lncRNA from 1 species